GUGGGGAAUUUUGGACAAUGGGCGCAAGCCUGAUCCAGCAAUGCCGCGUGCAGGAAGAAGGCCUUCGGGUUGUAAACUGCUUUUGUACGGAACGAAACGGUCCGGGUUAAUACCCUGGGCUAAUGACGGUACCGAAAGAAUAAGCACCGGCUAACUACGUGCCAGCAGCCGCGGUAAUACGUAGGGUGCAAGCGUUAAUCGGAAUUACUGGGCGUAAAGCGGGCGCAGGCGGUUUUGUAAGACAGGCGUGAAAUCCCCGGGCUCAACCUGGGAAUUGCGCUUGUGACUGCAAGGCUGGAGUGCGGCAGAGGGGGAUGGAAUUCCGCGUGUAGCAGUGAAAUGCGUAGAUAUGCGGAGGAACACCGAUGGCGAAGGCAAUCCCCUGGGCCUGCACUGACGCUCAUGCACGAAAGCGUGGGGAGCAAACAGGAUUAGAUACCCCUGUAGUCC
rnacentral:rRNA from 1 species